rnacentral:rRNA from 1 species
GACGAACGCUGGCGGCGUGCUUAACACAUGCAAGUCGAACGGAAAGGCCCUGCUUUUGUGGGGUGCUCGAGUGGCGAACGGGUGAGUAACACGUGAGUAACCUGCCCUUGACUUUGGGAUAACUUCAGGAAACUGGGGCUAAUACCGGAUAGGAGCUCCUGCUGCAUGGUGGGGGUUGGAAAGUUUCGGCGGCUGGGGAUGGACUCGCGGCUUAUCAGCUUGUUGGUGGGGUAGUGGCUUACCAAGGCUUUGACGGGUAGCCGGCCUGAGAGGGUGACCGGCCACAUUGGGACUGAGAUACGGCCCAGACUCCUACGGGAGGCAGCAGUGGGGAAUAUUGCACAAUGGGCGGAAGCCUGAUGCAGCAACGCCGCGUGCGGGAUGACGGCCUUCGGGUUGUAAACCGCUUUCGCCUGUGACGAAGCGUGAGUGACGGUAAUGGGGAAAGAAGCACCGGCUAACUACGU